AGAGAAGAGAAGAGAAGAGAAGAGAAGAGAAGAGAAGAGAAGAGAAGAGAAGAGAAGAGAGAAAAGAAACCGAUCUGAAAGAGCAGCUUGUCCUGACUCCGGACAGAGAUGUCAAGAUGUAUCAUAUCAAGGUUUGGCUUUAUUUAUCUUCUGGCUGCUUUUUCUCCUGAACUCCAGCGGUAAGUUAACAUUCAGUGUGUCACUACGGUUCAAGCGAGCCUUGGGAAGAUGGAUUGUUGUUCACUCACAGGAGAAUCUCCCAGGUUAUGGAAGAGGCAUAAUUAAUAAGAGUAGAGCAGCCUGGCUAGAAACAAGUCAUAUAACACAGAACACAGACCAUAGCAGCCGUUCUAUUGUGUGGAAGAGAGCUGUAAGGUUCUUUCUAUGAAAAUUGUUCAAUAGGUGCCCCUGGGUCAUUGGUCUUUAAUCUAUGCCAGGAGUUUAAGUAGAAUUUUCCACCACAUAGAUCAGGAUAUAACAGUAGAUUUCAAAG
rnacentral:lncRNA from 1 species